CAGGGAGGGCAGAAGGCGCGUGGAAUGGGACUCCUUCCCUACCAGAGAACCCACACCCCCACCUCUGGCAAGGAAAAGCUGAGUGGGGCAGCCCCAGUCUGAUUCUUCCAUCCAGAAGCACUUGGGAUAUAGCUGUGUUCUGUUUUAAGGCUUCGUGAAGGAUGUAGGCUAGAUCUGGGAAAGAACCUCACUGUGGAGGAUCAGCCAAACAGGAGCAUGUGACCUGGAGAUGUGAAGUUUCCCUCUGGACCUACUUAAAGGCUACAGCUGACAAGCCUCUCCUGGAGGAGGGGAUGAACUGCACGGCCUGCUGGAAGGCCCUGUCCAGCUGGUGAUUCAGGGCAGAUCCCAGGCCAGGACACAGUGGCCCCAGUGAAGACUGAGAAGUGACUCACUUGCCUGUGGUCACACAAGGAGGCUGGCAGUGCUUGCCCCAUAUCAACACUCCAAUAUCCAUUGGAACCUGCCACAGCCACCUCACUUGUCCCUCUACCUGCCCCAUGCUCCCCCAGUGUCUUCCACUUGGACAGCAACUAAAGAGGACUAAAACACAAGCCUGGGAUCUUGCUUCCCUGUGCGCCGAUCAUGGCUCUCCAGUGCUCCGAGAUAAAGCACCAGCUCCUUAGGAGAGCCUGCGAGUUCUUCCUCUCUCACCGUCUUGGGGCUCUUGGCUCCACGGUCCACCAUGUUGCUCUAGAACCCACCACGCUUCUUCCCACCUCUGGCUUCUGCGAUGCUUGGGCUGCUCUUACAUACCCCCAGUUCAUGCAGACAUCUUCUACUCAUCUUUCAAGUCUCAACCCAAAGCUGCUUUCUGUUGUUGCUUAGAAUGAAAUAAUGCUUUACUAUGGUAAAAUAGCUAUAAAAACAUAAAAUUUGCUACCUUAAUAUUUUAAGUAUACAAUUCAGUAGCAUUAAGUAUAUUCACAAUGGUGUGUAGACAUUACCACUACUGUUAAAUCAUCCCAAGCAGAGACUUUGAACCCAUUAAACCUCCUCAUUCUACACCCCCCUUCCCAGUCCCAGGUAACCUCUAAUCUGUUUUCAGUUUAGUAAUUGCCUUUCUGUGUACUCUUGUAAGUGGAAUCAUAAUAUCUGUCCUUUGUGCCUGGCUUAUUUCCCUUCGCAUAGUGUUUCAAAGGUCAUCCAUGUUAUGGCACAUAUCAAAAUGUUGUUUCUCUAUUGGUAGCUGAAUAAUAAUGCAAUGUAUAGAUGUCA